UUUGAAACUUGUGUCGAACAGUUCAUAUUGUUCAUUUAUUUGCGUAUUUUUUGCAAAUCGACGUGGUUUUUUCAAACCAAAGCAGUAUGCCUGCACCUAGAAAAAAGAAUAAGAAAUCUUCUGUUUUUAGCCAUGAGUUUAUCAUCACAAAUCACGGAGAUAUCGUCUCGUGUGUUUGUAUGUUAUUCAUGGUCGGACUGUUGUUCAAGGUACGCCGAUGCUACUACAUGUUACAAACUUUGGAAAACUUUUUGCCCUGAAUUUUAUAAAUUUUACAAUUCUCCCGUUUUUUAGGCAACUCAAAAAGUGGCUAGUGUUUUCGUAGGUCCACAACAUAAUAUAACAAGAUAUAACAACGGUA
rnacentral:lncRNA from 1 species